rnacentral:rRNA from 1 species
UACGUAGGCAGCAAGCGUUGUUCGGAGUUACUGGGCGUAAAGGGUGUGUAGGCUGGUUUUUUAAGUUUGGUGUGAAAUCUCCCGGCUCAACUGGGAGGGUGCGCCGAAUAACUGAAAGACUAGAGUGCGGGAGAGGAAAGUGGAAUUCCUGGUGUAGCGGUGAAAUGCGUAGAUAUCAGGAGGAACACCGGUGGUGUAGACGGCUUUCUGGACCGUAACUGACGCUGAGACACGAAAGCGUGGGUAGCAAACAGG